CUUUAAUGGGUAUGAAUGUUCUGUAAAUUGUGACAUGUAAUGUGGUGAAACCAUAAUGUGUGUCUUGUUAAGCUGUUUUCAAAUAAAUAAAGAAAGGCAAAUGUAAUUUGUCCACUCUGAGGAGUUGUGAAACUGAAAGGAUGCAAAGAGAGGUGUGCUGACAUAUUUAUGACGGAAAUACCAAAAUAAGUGCAGCAGAAAAUGUAUCACAUAAAAGAAGAUAUCAGAAGGGACAGAUCAACAUACGCCUACCAGGACCACAAAAUAUGUUGCUGUGUACUGAUGGCAUUAUGGAGUGGACUGUAGCAGAGUUUGGAAAGACCACAUCUGGCAGAUUGGCAAGUCGUAACAUCAUGACAGAAAAUCCAAGACCUACACCAUUUUCAAUGUGGCAUGUUUCUGAUGCCAAUGUAGUGAGCACAUUGUGUCUGUUUAUUGAUGAAUCAAUACGGAAAGACAUAAAACACUGUACAAAAUGGAGGCAAAAUGUGUUCUAUGAAAUGAAUUGUGGACUGUAAGUUUGGAGAAACUGGAGGCUCUUAUUGCUCUAUUUUGUGCUCAUGGUGUUCUUGGAGCCAAUCGUAUUAAAGUUGAUGAACUCUGGUCUAAAAAGUGGGGCCCACCUAUCUUCAGUGAUACUAUGGGGAGAAACUGCUUUCAAGAAAUUCUAAGAUUUUUGAGCUUCAGCAUUAGAAACCAAAGAUCAGAAUGUAUGAAGACAGAUAAAUUAGCUUUAGUAUCAAAAGUUUGGAGCAAAUUUAUUGAAAAUUCCUAUUCAACCUAUAUUCCCGGUGAAAACCUGACUGCUGAUGAACAGCUUUUUCCAAGCAAAACAAGGUUUCAAUUCUCACAGUACAUACCAAACAAACCAGAUAAAUUUG